UUUAAUAUUUAGUAAAACUAUCGAAAGGUAGUGACACAAAGCCAAGGGUCUAAGAUCUCUAAGAGAUUACGAUAGCCGGUUGCCGCA
rfam:Anaerostipes sp. CAG:276 genomic scaffold, scf147